rnacentral:rRNA from 1 species
UUAAGCAUGCAAGUCGAACGGUUAAAGCUCCUUCGGGAGUGUAUAAAGUGGCGCACGGGUGAGUAACACGUAGGUAAUCUACCCUUAAGACUGGGAUAGCGCUAGGAAACUAGAAUUAAUACCGGAUGUUUUGUAGAAAUGCAUGUUUCUACAAAAAAGUAGCAAUACGCUUAAGGAUGAGCCUGCGGUCCAUUAGCUAGUUGGUAAGGUAAAAGCUUACCAAGGCAACGAUGGAUAGCCGGCCUGAGAGGGUGAUCGGCCACAUUGGAACUGAGACACGGUCCAGACUCCUACGGGAGGCAGCAGCUAAGAAUCUUCCGCAAUGGACGAAAGUCUGACGGAGCGACGCCGCGUGGACGAUUGAAGGCCUUCUGGGUUGUAAAGUCCUUUUAUAAGGGAAGAAAGCUAAUCUUCAUGAUUAGUAUGACGGUACCUUAUGAAUAAGCCCCGGCUAAUUACGUGCCAGCAGCCGCGGUAAUACGUAAGAGGCUAGCGUUGUUCGGAAUUAUUGGGCGUAAAGGGCGCGUAGGUGGAUUAAUAAGUUAGGUGUGAAAGCUUUCAGCUCAACUGAGAAAUUGCGCUUAAAACUGUUAAUCUAGAGUUUAGGAGAGGAGAUCGGAAUUCCUGGUGUAGGGGUGAAAUCUAUAGAUAUCAGGAAGAACACCGGUGGCGUAGGCGGAUCUCUGGCCUUAAACUGACGCUGAUGCGCGAAAGCUAGGGUAGCGAACGGGAUUAGAUACCCCGGUAGUCCUAGCCGUAAACGUUGUAUACUAGGUGCAUGUGGUAUCGAUCCCUCAUGUGCCGGAGUUAACGCAUUAAGUAUACCGCCUGGGGAGUAUGCGCGCAAGCGUGAAACUCAAAGGAAUUGACGGGGGCCCGCACAAGCGGUGGAGCAUGUGGUUUAAUUCGAUGAUACGCGAAAAACCUUACCAGGGUUUGACAUGUACUAGACGCCUUGAGAGAUCAAGGUUCUCUUCGGAGCUGGUACACAGGUGCUGCAUGGCUGUCGUCAGCUCGUGUCGUGAGAUGUUGGGUUAAGUCCCGCAACGAGCGCAACCCCUAUGCUUUGUUGUCAUCAGGUGAAGCUGGACCCUCGAAGCAAACUGCCGGUUUAAGCCGGAGGAAGGUGGGGAUGACGUCAAGUCCUCAUGGCCCUUAUAUCCUGGGCUACACACGUGCUACAAUGGAUGGUACAAAGGGUCUUUGCCAAGUCGCAAGACGGAGCUAAUCCCAGAAAACCAUCCUCAGUUCGGAUCGGAGUCUGAAACUCGACUUCGUGAAGUCGGAAUCGCUAGUAAUCGCAGAUCAGCAUGCUGCGGUGAUACGUUCCCGGGCCUUGUACACACCGCCCGUCACACCACCCGAGUUGGUUUUACCCGAAGUCGCUGUGCCAACCUUUUUAGGAGGUAGGUGCCUAAG